UUAAGCAUAUCAAUAAGCGGAGGAAAAGAAACCAACAGGGAUUGCCCUAGUAACGGCGAGUGAAGCGGCAACAGCUCAAAUUUGAAAUCUGGCUCUCUUUGGGGGUCCGAGUUGUAAUUUGCAGAGGAUGCUUUGGCAUUGGCGGCGGUCUAAGUUCCUUGGAACAGGACAUCACAGAGGGUGAGAAUCCCGUACGUGGUCGCCUGCCUUUGCCGUGUAAAGCUCCUUCGACGAGUCGAGUUGUUUGGGAAUGCAGCUCUAAAUGGGAGGUAAAUUUCUUCUAAAGCUAAAUACUGGCCAGAGACCGAUAGCGCACAAGUAGAGUGAUCGAAAGAUGAAAAGUACUUUGGAAAGAGAGUCAAAAAGCACGUGAAAUUGUUGAAAGGGAAGCGCUUGCAGCCAGACUUGCCCGCAGUUGCUCACCUAGGCUUUCGCCUGGGGCACUCUUCUGCGGGCAGGCCAGCAUCAGUUUGGGCGGUUGGAUAAAGGCCUCUGUCACGUAUCUCCCUUCGGGGUGACCUUAUAGGGGAGGCGCAAUGCAACCAGCCCGGACUGAGGUCCGCGCAUCUGCUAGGAUGCUGGCGUAAUGGCUGUAAGCGGCCCGUCUUGAAACACGGACCAAGGAGUCUAACAUCUAUGCGAGUGUUUGGGUGUCAAGCCCGAGCGCGCAAUGAAAGUGAACGGAGGUGGGAACCCUUUGGGUGCACCAUCGACCGAUCCUGAUGUCUUCGGAUGGAUUUGAGUAAGAGCAUAGCUGUUGGGACCCGAAAGAUGGUGAACUAUGCUUGAAUAGGGUGAAGCCAGAGGAAACUCUGGUSSAGASWMACAGCGGUUCUGACGUGCAAAUCGAUCGUCAAAUUUGGCAUAGGGCGAAAGACUAAUCGA
rnacentral:rRNA from 1 species